AUGCCGUCCCUAGGCAACCAGUUCCCAUUUCACAGCCCACAGAAACACCUCCCAGCCAUCCUGGGGGGGAACACAAAACUUCCUCCCGGGGCAGUUCACACACGCUAUCAUCACACUGCACGGGGCAGUUCACACACGCCAUCAUCACACUGCACGGGGCAGUUCACACAUGCUAUCACACUGCACGGGGCAGUUCACACACGCUACCAUCACACUGCAUGGGGCAGUUCACACACGCUAUCAUCACGCUGCACGGGACAGUUCACACACGCCAUCAUCACACUGCACGGGGCAGUUCACACAUGCUAUCAUCACGCUGCACGGGACAGUUCACACACACUACCAUCAUACUGCACGGGGCAGUUCACACACGCUAUCAUCACACUGCACGGGGCAGUUCACACACGCUACCAUCACGCUGCAUGGGGCAGUUCACACACGCUAUCAUCACGCUGCACGGGGCAGUUCACACACGCUACCAUCACGCUGCACGGGGCAGUUCACACACGCUAUCAUCACGCGCUGCACGAGACAGUUCACACACACUACCAUCAUACUGCACGGGGCAGUUCACACACGCUAUCAUCACACUGCACGGGGCAGUUCACACACGCUAUCAUCACACUGCACGGGGCAGUUCACACACACCAUCAUCACACUGCACGGGACAGUUCACACAGGCCAUCACACUGCACGGGGCAGUUCACACACGCUAUCACACUGCACGGGGCAGUUCACACACGCUAUCACACUGCACGGGGCAGUUCACACACACUAUCAUCACACUGCACGGGGCAGUUCACACAGGCCAUCAUCACACUGCACGGGGCAGUUCACACACGCUAUCAUCACACUGCACGGGGCAGUUCACACCCGCAGCGUGCAAACGAGCUCCUGAGACGGCGGAGGGGGAGGGGGGAUGUGGAGGGGGUGGGGAUGCACAGUGAGGACCCUCAGCUGGGAGGAGGACGAGGAGGAGGAGGAAGACGAGGAGGAGGAGGACGGGGAGGGGGAGGACGGGGAGGGGGAGGAAGACGAGGAGGAGGAGGACGGGGAGGGGGAGGGACGGGGGGAGGAAGACGAGGAGGAGGAGGACGGGGAGGGGGAGGAAGACGAGGACGAGGAGGACGAGGAGGAGGACGAGGAGGAGGACGAGGAGGAGGACGAGGAGGAGGACGAGGAGGAGGAAGACGAAGAGGACGAGGAGGAGGACGAGGAGGAGGACGAGGAGGAGGACGCGGCGUCCUCUGCGGGAGACGCAGCGGGCGAGCAUCCGCCACCAAGCUCUCCCCUCGGCGGUCUGGGUCGCCCGCGCGCGCGUCACGUGACCGGCGCUCCGGGAGGACCCGCACUGCGCACGCCAGCACCACCGCCGGCUCCCAAAGGACUGAAACCGGAAGGGGCUUGCCGCUCGGCGCCGGCGGGAACCGCGGCCGGUGCGGCACUUCCGUUCCGCCGGAGCCCCAGCCGCGGCGCGGCCAGCACGCCAGCCUCCCCUCUCCACCCGCGACCACGCAGGUGCAGAUCCACACGGGCGGGGGCCGGAGCUGGGCGCCGCCGAGGCCUCGGGGCUGGAGACAGCUCGGCCACGUUCCCACCCGGGGACGCCCGCGCGCGGCCGAGCCCCGGACCCUGGUGGCGAGCACCCAUUUACCUGCUCCCGCCGCCGCCGCUCGCGGACACCUGCGCAGGACGCGGGCCGGCACCGCCUCCCUCCCUGCGGAGAUCCCGGCCCAGGUACCCAGGGCGUGUCUCCUGUGCGGAACUGGAAUCUGCCAUGCGGAGGAGCCUUCUAAUCCCUUCACCGCUCUGGAGCAGCUAAAAGUGAGAUGUGAAAAAAAGCAGCCAUACGACAGGCUCAAGAAACGAAACGAUUGAUGGCGACGUCGGAUCCUAGUGACUUAGCAGCUCUCUCAAGUCCCUGGACGAGCCAUAGCUGAAAGCUUGUCUAGACCGCUAUGGAUGUUGAAGAUGUCUGCCCUAGGACUGUCGCUCUUGUUCUCCACUCUAAUCAUAGCAGUUCAGCCAUACUCUGUUGAAGGCUGUUGGUUUCUCAGCUGCUGCGACAUUCUUUUCUCACACGUGACGGGCUCUUGUUUGAAAGGGAGAGUGGUUGUGUAGAGUACCAUGCCUGUUGUGUGGACAUGGCCAAGAGGUAGCAGCACACUUGCCCGGAUGAUCUGGAUAACAUUCACUUAGCAGUUUUUAUCGAAUGUAUAACAAGUCUGGGACUGAACCAGACACAUUCAAGAGUUGUUUGACUUCGUAGUGCUCUGGGUCUUUUGAGUGUGGGCCCCUGGAUGACGACUAUUCGUCAGAUAAAGAGCAUUCCUAAACAUCUUGGGAAUUGCUUUUCUCUCUUCCACUGAACAAAACGGACUGAACUUUAUAUAAUUUCUAAACUCUGAGUGGGAAGUUAUUAUCAACAGGAUCCUGUCAAGCUUUCACUGAGCAGGACAACCUGAAGUCUUGAGUGGACAAUUACAAUGCUGAGGAGAUCAGUACCACAGAGCAAUAAUGAACAGCACUUUAUCUCUUCUGAACCUUUUUCUUUCCCACCCCUUUCUUUGCACAAACAAGGGUGUUUCUGUUACAGGAGUUUGAUGCUUUCUUACACAUAUUUUUUAAUGUCUGUUGAACAAGUGAAGGGCCACUUUUUGGGCGUCCAGCAAGGUGCUUGCCAUGUCUCCAUGUAGACUGAGCAGUCUAGUAGUUAGAAAGGGAAAAAAGUUUAAUAAUCAUUUCUUAAACUGUUAUCAACACCUUUGUGUCAGCAUGUCUCUUUUCUCUCUGUGCCUGACACCCUAAUGACUUUGGCUUUCCAUCAAAACAUCUGUUUGCUUACUCUGUCACACCUAAUCCAAAAUUCAGUAUUACAUGGACUUCAUGGUAAUAAUGGUAACAACCAUAAAGCAUUUUGUGUGCCUAUGGCAUUGGGCAAAAUAGAAUAAAAUUCUAUUCUCUUAAUUUGUACA
rnacentral:lncRNA from 1 species